rnacentral:rRNA from 1 species
UGAAGAAUAUUGGGCAAUGGGCGAAAGCCUGACCCAGCAACGCCGCGUGAAGGAAGAAGGUUUUCGGAUUGUAAACUUCUGUCCCAUGGGAAGAAAAAAAUGACGGUACCAUGGGAGGAAGCCCCGGCUAACUACGUGCCAGCAGCCGCGGUAAUACGUAGGGGGCAAGCGUUGUCCGGAAUUAUUGGGCGUAAAGGGUGCGUAGGCGGCCCUGCAAGUUGGAUGUGAAAUCUCCGUGCUUAACAUGGAAAUUGCAUUCAAAACUGUGGGGCUUGAGUGUGGAAGAGGUAAGUGGAAUUCCCAGUGUAGCGGUGAAAUGCGUAGAUAUUGGGAGGAACACCAGUGGCGAAGGCGACUUACUGGGCCACAACUGACGCUGAUGCACGAAAGCGUGGGGAGCAAACAG